rnacentral:rRNA from 1 species
GACAGAGGGUGCAAACGUUGUUCGGAUUUACUGGGCGUAAAGCGCGUGUAGGCGGCUUUGCAAGUCGGAUGUGAAAGCCCACGGCUCAACCGUGGAAGUGCAUCCGAAACUGCAUGGCUCGAGUCUCGGAGAGGAAGGUGGAACGCUUGGUGUAGAGGUGAAAUUCGUAGAUAUCAAGCAGAACACCUGCGGCGAAGGCGGCCUUCUGGACGAUGACUGACGCUGAGACGCGAAAGCGUGGGGAGCAAACAGG